rnacentral:rRNA from 1 species
UACGGGGGGGGCAAGCGUUGUUCGGAAUUACUGGGCGUAAAGGGCUCGCAGGCGGCCGACUAAGUCAGACGUGAAAUCCCUUGGCUUAACCAAGGAAUGGCGUCUGAUACUGGACGGCUUGAAUUCGGGAGAGGGAUGUGGAAUUCCAGGUGUAGCGGUGAAAUGCGUAGAUAUCAGGAGGAACACCGAUGGCGAAGGCAGAUCUCUGGGCCAUUACUGACGCUGAGGAGCGAAAGCAUGGGGAGCGAACAGG